rnacentral:rRNA from 1 species
GACGAACGCUGGCGGCGUGCUUAACACAUGCAAGUCGAACGGAAAGGCCCUGCUUUUGUGGGGUGCUCGAGUGGCGAACGGGUGAGUAACACGUGAGUAACCUGCCCUUGACUUUGGGAUAACUUCAGGAAACUGGGGCUAAUACCGGAUAGGAGCUCCUGCUGCAUGGUGGGGGUUGGAAAGUUUCGGCGGUUGGGGAUGGACUCGCGGCUUAUCAGCUUGUUGGUGGGGUAGUGGCUUACCAAGGCUUUGACGGGUAGCCCGCCUGAGAGGGUUACCGGCCACAUUGGGACUGAGAUACGGACCAGAAUCCUACGGGAGGCAGCAGUGGGGAAUAUUGCACAAUGGGCGGAAGCCUGAUGCAGAAACGCCGCGUGCGGGAUGACGGCCUUCGGGUUGUAAACCGCUUUCGCCUGUGACGAAGCGUGAGUGACGGUAAUGGGUAAAGAAGCACCGGCUAACUACGUG